AUUGAACGCUGGCGGCAUGCUUUACACAUGCAAAUCGAACGGUAACAGCACUUCGGUGGCUGACGAGUGGCGAACGGGUGAGUAAUACAUCGGAACGUGCCUAGUAGUGGGGGAUAACUACUCGAAAGAGUAGCUAAUACCGCAUGAGAUCUAAGGAUGAAAGCAGGGGACCUUCGGGCCUUGCGCUACUAGAGCGGCUGAUGGCAGAUUAGGUAGUUGGUGGGAUAAAAGCUUACCAAGCCGACGAUCUGUAGCUGGUCUGAGAGGACGACCAGCCACACUGGGACUGAGACACGGCCCAGACUCCUACGGGAGGCAGCAGUGGGGAAUUUUGGACAAUGGGCGCAAGCCUGAUCCAGCAAUGCCGCGUGCAGGAUGAAGGCCUUCGGGUUGUAAACUGCUUUUGUACGGAACGAAAAGCCCUCUUCUAAUACAGGAGGGUCAUGACGGUACCGUAAGAAUAAGCACCGGCUAACUACGUG
rnacentral:rRNA from 1 species